rnacentral:lncRNA from 1 species
UCGGCAUUAUUUUUGGAAUAACGAAGUAGCAGCUGAACCUCUUAUCAUAUCACGUUUGCAGUAGCACAGAUUGAGCCAUCUCGUUUCUAUUUUCACAAUAACAUUUUUCAGGAUGCAAAAUGGCCACAUGCUUCUCCCUGAUUAGCCGUUUGAGAGCAUGUACAGUGUGUGAUUAUAAUAACAUCCACCUGCAGCAAUCAACUGAGUCAAUUCACCACUGGGCCAACCAACGAUGGAGCAAAAUAAUGCAUUUCUUCCAAUUUGUUAACUGCACCACAUGCUUCUCGCUGAAGAUAAGACAAAAGCAACAUUUUUUUAUAGGACCUCAAGUCAUCAACGACAACUGUGAUAUGAUUGGUGUGAUUAUUGCCAACUCAUACUUGGCCUAUUUUUCAGUGACGAAAAGGGUAGCAGAUGAUUCAAGUUUUUUUUUUGCGUGGGCCUAGCAUUGCGGUUCAGGUUGACCAGAUUAGCUUGCAUACUUUCAUUUCAGUCAUGAUUCUUACAUAUCACACAAAUAUUUUUUUUUACCUCAAUGAGAUUACAGGAAACAGACUUGGAAACAAAAGCAAAGAAAGAAGAAAAAAUGAAACGACAGCAGCAGCUAAUUAAUUCUACCCCCAUGAAAAAGAAACAAAUAUAUCUACUUCAAAAAAUAUAUCGCAGACUGAUGCUUAUUCCUCGCCAUCUUAAAACACUUAUUCUGUUGCAAGUUGCAGUCGUACACCUUAGUUCUCACAAUUAAAUGUACGAUCUUCAUUUAUUCAUACAACAAAAAUUAACAAUGUGCAACAACUUUGAUGCAACUAUAUACAACACAACUUCAAUUGGAAAAUGCAUGGGGAAGCUCAAAGCACAUAUUAAUAAACAACCCUACAAAUAGAUAUAAACAAGGACAGGAAAGAACUAGAUGAUAAACAAAAGGGGAGCAGAAAUGAACUCAAUAAGUGGUGAUAUCUGUUAUUGUCAGAAGAUGAACUCUACAUUGGAGAAAAUAGAAAUGUUUUCGGCACAAACUUACUUGGAGGGACUUAAAUGAAUUCGUUUAUUGUCCUGCAGAGCAUAGAACUUGUAACUGGCCUCUUUUCUCAUGGCUAAAUUUCUUUGUUCUCAGUAUGGUGGCCUCCUC